rnacentral:rRNA from 1 species
UACAGAGGUGGCAAGUGUUGUUCGGAUUUACUGGGCGUAAAGGGUCCGCAGGCGGUCUUGUGUGUCAGAUGUGAAAGCCCACGGCUUAACCGUGGAAAUGCGUUUGAAACUACAGGGCUAGAGUACAGGAGAGGAGAGGGGAAUUCAUGGUGUAGCGGUGAAAUGCGUAGAUAUCAUGAAGAACACCGGUGGCGAAAGCGCCUCUCUGGACUGAUACUGACGCUCAUGGACGAAAGCCAGGGGAGCAAAGAGGAUUAGAUACCCUCGUAGUCCUGGCCAUAAACGGUGCGCACUUGAUGUGGGAGGUUUACCCCCUUCCGUGUCGAAGCUAACGCGAUAAGUGCGCCGCCUGGGAAGUACGGCCGCAAGGUUAAA